rnacentral:lncRNA from 1 species
CCUGAAAAUCAACUUAUGUCUUAGUCUAUUUUGUGUAGUUAUAAAAAAUAACUGGAGGCUGAUAAUUUAAAAAUUAAAGAGGUUUAUUUGGCUAAUGAGACAGUCUCUGCCUCACUAACCUUUUGGUCUGACAGAGACAUUGGGACAAUUAGACUAUGGGAGAAGACCAGAUCACCACCCACAUAGGUCCUUUCCCAUGGUGGAUAUGUGGGAACUUGGCAGAUAAUUCACACUGGGUAUCAUACAACUGCAGAAAGGUUUCUCUUAGGUCAAUUUAAAGUACAGAGUAUUGGCUAACUAUACUUCCAAUAUUCUAUACUUGAACAUGCUAGUUACUUUUGCUUCUACCUGCUAUUUUCUAAGACCUUAAGAUAUAGGCAAUAAAGGUUUUCCUCUCAUAUAGAAAGUCUCUAUCCUGUUUUCUGCAAAAAUUAUUACAAUUACACAUCUUCACUGUCUUUUGUGUUUUCA